UGCAAAGUCAUACGAAUCAUAUCAAUUACUUUAAAGUAAGGAACAUCUGGUUAACAUCUAAAAUAUAACGUAUUUUAAGUAUUUAUCUAGAGGAAAAAGAGGGGAAAACAAGUGUGUUGAUCACUAAGAUAUGUUUUCAUACACAAAACUGUUGUCUAAAUCAGGUCCAUUGAUUACCAAUAUAAGAAACCUAUGUGGACUUCUUAAAGGUUCAUGAAUAAGAUGGUGAUACAGGUCUAUCAGAUCCUGUAUCUGCUAAUCAGAUCAGAUCCCUCAAACCAUUAUGUAAUGGUGUUGUCAUAGAUAGAUGAACUGAAAAGAAUCAAGGUCAUUCUAAAUAUUGUUGCUGACACUGAUUUUUGAUAGGAGCACAGCGUAGAACACAUUUUAAUUUUUUUUCACUGCAGCCAGAUCUGAUAUAUAUGUAGGUAUAUUACUUUACAACUCCACUGCAAGAAAAUACAGAAUAAAAUCAUUCGUCAUUUGAUAUCAAAGGUUGUGCCUGCAGUGGAAAUAAUUCAUAUUCAUAGAUCAGCCCUGAAAUCUGAAGAUUAAAAAAAACUAGAAAUAGGAUGUUCUAGAAGCAAAGUAUUCAAAUUAUGGUAAAAUAUAUAACUGUUUUUAUUUCCUAGGCAACAGUUAAAAAAAUAUUCUGGAGAUCGCAGUCAAUUAAAUUACACAUAGAAAUUAAAAGGACCCUUGCCUUGUUGCCUAACCACAAUGUUGAAUUACAUCAGAAGAUUGAAAGAAAAGAAAAAAAAACACUUUCCUUCUUUGGAAUAAAAGCCGACAACAGAUAUAAUGGGAAUGAACCAAAAUUCCCCUGCAUUCGCCAUGCUGACUGAAGCACUGGAAGUUGUCAUUCAGCAGGAUCCGGAGGACCCACGAUUCUCCUGUGUUCUUGAUCCAGCACCAGUCUCCUCAGAAACAUGGCAUUAGAAGUUGGACUUCUCUAGUAAUAUCAAGAGAAAUUAAAAGCUAACAACAUUGAGGUAGGAAGAACCAUGGUGGAACUCAGCUGACCUUCUGUGGGAGGGAGGGUGUGAGCUGGAGCCCAGAAAAUCUUUGGAAGUGAAGCAAAGUCCUGCUUGAACAUCUUUAUCCUUAAGCUGUCUUCUAAAAUGCUUCCAUUUUAGAAUGCUGUUCCCAGAUUCUAAGGUCUUGACUGAGUGCUCUACAGUUUGCUGCUGGAUUGUCCUCCUUCAGUCAUGUGGCACCCUACAGGAUUUCUCAGAAAUAAUUUAAAAAAUAAUUCCAGCCAAACCAUCAACUAGUUUUUUCAGUACAAGAUGCAAUUCAUUUGGCCCUCCAGAUUUAAACUCAUUCCAAGUAAAGAGAUAUUCCCUAAUUAUUUUUCUAUCAGUCUUGGUUAUCAAUCCUGACUCUUUAAUUUCUUUUAUAGGUUUUUGUUGUUGUUGAAGAUUGAACAAAAGUAGAAGUUGAGUACUUAUAUAUUUUACCUAUUAGCAUAUAGUCCUCUUCAUUGAAUAGCUGAUUUACAGAUUUUUUUUUCUUUUCCUUUUACUUUGAGCAUAUACUGUAUGUAACCAUACAGUAUAUAAAGAAACUACAUUCAGUAUACACAAGUUAGUUCCCAUUGCUAUACUGGGAUAGAGAGCUACACCUCUUGGUUUUGUGCCAUUUAUUUCUCUUUCUUCCAGUCUCAGCAUAUUUGUAUACCCAAAAUUUCUUGAGAUUGGGGCAGUUUAUAAAUAAUGUAAUAUAUGUAAAUACAUUGAUAUUAUAUCUGUAUGAUUUUUUUAGCUGUCACUAUUGGAGUCACAUUCUCCAUUGCAAAAAGAUGGAUGCAUGUUUGUUUAGAGCAGAUAUGUACUUUAAAAAUCACUUUGUGAUAAUCCUAUAAACUGCAGUGUCUAACACACUGUUUCUGUGAUUUCCAAUCAAAACAUAGAACUCUGAUUGCUUAGAGAUAAUAAAAUAAUUAUUUUAAUUGAUAAUGUUUGUUUUACAUCUUGUAUAUUUAUUCUUUGAGCUUUUUGUAUCUUUUAAGUACCCACUAAUAACUCCUGAGUAUGACUGAUAUAUAAUUAUAGACAUCCCACAUUUUUGUUGGUUUAUUUACCUGCUCAGUAAAGCAUGUUAGUUCUCACCAAUUUGCCUGUUUCCACCUCCGUUUUAAUUACUAAAUACUUAAUCAAUCCCACACAAAGCCUUUGCUUGUUCUCUCAGGCUCAUGGAGAUAAGGGGAUGGGGUAGGGAAUGCAAAGAUACUGUACCUGCAAUGAAACAUAUUUUUCAUUGACCUUUCCCAAAAAGAUACACAAAACAUUUUUCUGUGAAUGAUGGAACCAUGCAUUUUUUUCACCCAAUAAUGGACUUCGUUCCAAGAAAAUCUCUCAUCAUGUCACUAAAUCCUAGCCUUCCCAACCUGAUGAUCUCAGGAUGUAUCUGGACAGCAACUCAUAAUUUUGAACUAUGGUAUAUGGAAUUAUGGGAUUGAAGUCCUACAGAGGGUGUCAAUUUGGGGAAGGCUGAUUUACACAAAAAAGAGUCUUCUGUGCCAAUAACAUACUUUAGUAGUAGAAAAGGAUGAUUAGAUAGAUAGAUAGAUAGAUAGAUAGAUAGAUAGAUAGAUAGAUAGAUAGAUAGAUGUGAAUAUCUAUUUAUAUAUUUUAUCAUAGAACUUCCCACAGAAAAUCAUGGAGAAUAAGAGGUUUAAGAUCCUGUGGGAUUUCCAGAUCCUGACUGAUAGUUUUGUACUAGUCAAUUAACUAGACAUCAUGGCAGUAGACAAAGACCAGAAGACAGCAGUGAUGAUAGAUCUAGCUGUUCCAAGAUACAUCAGGAAGGAGAUGAGAAGCUGGAGAAGUACCAGACCUUGAAAGAGGAACUAGAGAGGAUGUGCAAAGUAAAGGCCAAAGUGGUCCCAAUGGUGGUAGAAACACUUGGGGCCAAAAAAGUGGAAACCCAUUAAUGCAAAGCUUCAGUAGAUCUCCUAGGCACCUGCAAUUUGCUACAAUGCCAACAAGCAUCAUAUGCUAUGUCUUGUAACAUUACAUACAAGUACAUAAGAAGCAGAGUUCAAGUCAUGACAUCACAAUGCAAGUUUCAUCGCUUUCCUUAUCUGGCCUCUCAUAUGGCUUGAACAGAACCUAACUAUAGUUAAUUUACCAUUUCACUUUAACACUUUAGUUAUUUAAGUAAUUUCCCCAUUCUAUUCUAAAAGCUACAGCCCUAAAGAACAAUUACCGUAUUUUUCAUAAAAUAAUCUUCUUUGUGUUCUUUUUUUUUGUUUAAGAUAAACAUGAUAUACCACCAUGAAGCAUAACAGCAAAGAUGAGAAGCACAGAAAAAGUGAUGGAAAAGAAUGUAACUUGGCAGAAUUAUAGCAUGAACCUAAGAUCUACUGAAAUGGAUAGGUCCUAGCAAAUUGAAUCCAGAACAGGAACUGUGUAAAGCAGCCAAAAGAAGAAUAUGUACCUUAUGCAUUCAAACAUUUGUGAUACAUAAACCUUUUGGGCACUCCACUCUACUUCAUUACAGGAAAAAGCCCAUACAUGUUUUUAUCCUUAAAAGUUCACGAGACACUUGGUGAAUGUGUGUAAUUGGAAGUUGCUCAAACCUCAGACAGGUGGCAAAUUAAUGCACAUAAUUUGUCUGUACUGCAGAGACAUAUUAUGAAUAGAAUAAUUGUCAAGGAAAUAUGCAGUUGGGGAAAUACAUAUCACCAAAAGCCUGUGUGCUCUUCUUUUGUUGAAUAAAAUACAACUUACUGUCAUACUAUGUUGCUCAGCACAGCAAGAACUGCUCUUUAUGUUGAUUAUAUCCCUAUAAAUAAAGGAUCUCUGCAUUGUACUCCAAUAAGAUGUAUUCUGGGUCACUUUUCCUCAAUUUUUAAGUUCUUAUUUCAUUUGUUAACUAUAGGAAAAAAAAGAAAAGAAAAUUUGAUCAUUAACCCAACUCACAUUACAUGGAGGUAGGUUAAGAUUGUUUUUUUCCUACUGCAGUUGAGACUGUGUGGUACAGCUCCAUAUAAUAUGGACUUCUAGAACUGGAAAGGGCUGUUUAGGCCAUUUUGUCUAACCCUCUACUCAAUGCAGGAAUACAGAUUAAAGCUUCCCAGAUGGAUGACUGCCUAGCCAUUUCCUGAACACAUGCCAUAAAAGGAAGCCUACAACUUCUCUGUGCAAUUAUUUUGAUUGUUAAAAUUGUUCUUACUUUUUUUCUUACAUCCAUUAUUCUGUAUUCUGCACUCUGGAAUGAGAGAGAAUAGGUCCUGACCUUAUAUGUAAUAUCUUCCUUGUUAUUUUAAAUGUGUUAACAUACUGUUCUUAGUUUUAAAAGUUAAGAAACCCAGCUCCUUUUAUAUAUUAUAAAUUAUAUAUAUAAUUUCUCUGAAUCUGAGCAUG